rnacentral:lncRNA from 1 species
UUUUGUUGUUAAAAUAAGUAUUUUUUUGAAACAAUAAUCUAGGAUGGUUAAAAUUGAAAGGAGUGAUACUGGCUCUAAAUCUUUGAAUCUUUCUGUGAAGUUCCUUACAACUUCAUUCAAGAGCUCUUUCCCAACAUCUUUCAUGGGCUUCAGGUUUUCUAAAUUCUUCUUAAGUAUAGCUGUUAUAGGAAUUGCCAAACUUCCAGUAAGGUAUUUUCCAGAUUUUAUUGAUAGCUUUUUCAAGAGGCUUAAGCACUUGACACAUUUCACCAAGAUUUUCAAUUUCUGUUGCUGUCAGCA